GAAGCUUUUCACAAAGAGUCUGGACUGCUGUCUGUCAACAAUGGUGUAUGGCCUGCUUGGGCAGGGGGGCGGGGUUGGACUAGAUGACCUACAAGGUCCCUUCCUACUCUGUUAAUCUGUUGAAUCUGAUUGAU